rnacentral:rRNA from 1 species
GUGAAUGAAAAUAAAUCUUGGAAAAGCCUGAUCUAGUCCAAUCUCUGAAGCUAAACAGAGCUGGUCCUGGUUAGUACUUGGAUGAGAGACCAAAGGGAAUACGAUGGACCACA